ACGUAGGGGGCGAGCGUUGUCCGGAUUUACUGGGCGUAAAGCGCACGCAGGCGGUCGGAUGAGUCGGAUGUGAAAGCCCUGGGCUUAACCUGGGAACUGCAUUCGAUACUGUCUGGCUAGAGUAUGGGAGAGGGAAGCGGAAUUUCCGGUGUAGCGGUGAAAUGCGUAGAUAUCACACGGAACGCCGGUGGUGAAAACGGGUCACUGGGCCUGUCCUGACGCUGAGACGCGAGAGCGUGGGGAGCAAACAG
rnacentral:rRNA from 1 species